rnacentral:lncRNA from 1 species
AUGUCCCCAUCCCAGUGUCCCCAGUGUCCCCACCAUCCCCAUCCCACGCACCCUCCUCACCUCCCAACACUCCCCCGCCUCCCAGCACCCCCAAAUCCCACCCCCAUCCCCAUAGGGUCACGGGGGGGGGUGCCGGGACCAUCCCCCCCCCCCCAAAAAAACCUCCCACCAUGUGGCUGGGGGCCCGCCUGGACGCGCUGCCCACCCCGGCGCUCGCCGUCGACCGUGCCGUGGCGCGCCGCAACGCCGAGCGCAUGCAGGAGCGCUGCCGAGCCCUCGGCCUCCGCCUGCGCCCCCACGUCAAGACCCACAAAACGCUGGAGGGCGGCGCGCUGGCCACGGGCGGCACGCGGCGCGGCAUCGCCGUCUCCACGCUGGCCGAGGCGCGUUUUUUCGCCGACGGGGGCUUCGAUGACAUCCUACUGGCGUACCCGCUGCCAACGGGGCGCCUGGAGGAGUGCGCCCAGCUGGCCCAGCGCCUCGAAGCCUUCCAGGUGCUCUUGGACAGCCCCGAGGCGCUGCAGUGCCUGCGGCAGCGCCCGCUGGCCGGCGGCAAGCGCUGGCUCGUUUGGCUCAAGCUCGAUUGCGGCAACGGCAGAGGUGGGGACGGGCACGGGGAGGGGGAUUUGGGGUUGGGUUUUUUGCCGCCGGUCCCCGUGGAGCAGCACGGAUAGGGUGGUUGAGUCGUGGCCCCCAAAAUUCUUCAUUCCAUCAUUCCUCAGCAUCCCGCUUGUGGGGAUGUCCCAAAGCCCCCAGGCAGUGUGGGUCUGUGAGCCCCCAACCCCGUUUCCAGCCACCUGGAUGUCCCGUGGGGCCCCAACCCCACAGCCCACACCACCAAUGCCUCGACCCCAAUGGAGCAUUCAAGCUUCCCAAAAGUCAUUUUUCACCCCUCACUUCAGGGCUGACGUGUCCCAUCAGUCCCUAAACCCACAAACCCAGCAGCUGAGCCAUUACGCAUCCGUUAGGCCCCCCAAAAAAACCCUUUUCACCCACCCCAAGGCUGCUCCCUGGGGGAGGGAUUCCGGGUGUCCCCAAUCCCAAAGCCUCCAUCCUCAGCAGCUCAGCCAUUAGCCCCCAAACCCCAUUUGCAUCCACCCACCCCAACAAUGCCCGAAGCCCCCAGCCCC